rnacentral:rRNA from 1 species
GGCCGCGGGAAUUCGAUUCAGGCCUAACACAUGCAAGUCGGACGGGAUCCAUAUUGAAGCUUGCUUUAAUAUGGUGAGAGUGGCGCACGGGUGCGUAACGCGUGAGCAACCUGCCCAUAUCAGGGGUAUAGCCCGGAGAAAUCCGGAUUAAGACCGCAUAAGACUACCACUUGGCAUCAAGCGAUAGUUAAAUAUUUAUAGGAUAUGGAUGGGCUCGCGUGACAUUAGCUAGUUGGCGGGGUAACGGCCCACCAAGGCUACGAUGUCUAGGGGCUCUGAGAGGAGAAUCCCCCACACUGGUACUGAGACACGGACCAGACUCCUACGGGAGGCAGCAGUAAGGAAUAUUGGUCAAUGGAGGGAACUCUGAACGAGCCAUGCCGCGUGCAGGACGACUGCCCUAUGGGUUAAAGGUGCUUUUGUACGGGAACAAAUGCGAGUACGUGUACUUGUUGAGUGUAC